GAUGAACGCUGGCGGCGUGCUUAACACAUGCAAGUCGAACGAAGCACUUUUACAGAUUUCUUCGGAAUGAAGUUUUAGUGACUGAGUGGCGGACGGGUGAGUAACGCGUGGGUAACCUGCCUCACACAGGGGGAUAACAGUUGGAAACGGCUGCUAAUACCGCAUAAGCGCACAGUACUGCAUGGUACGGUGUGAAAAACUCCGGUGGUGUGAGAUGGACCCGCGUCUGAUGAGCUAGGUGGCAGGGCAACGGCCUACCAAGGCGACGAUCAGAAGCCGGCCUGAGAGGGUGACCGGCAACAUUGGGACUGAGACACGGCCCAAACUCCUACGGGAGGCAGCAGUGGGGAAUAUUGCACAAUGGGGGAAACCCUGAUGCAGCGACGCCGCGUGAGCGAAGAAGUAUUUCGGUAUGUAAAGCCCUAUCAGCAGGGAAGAAGAAAUGACGGUACCUGACUAAGAAGCACCGGCUAAAUACGUGCCAGCAGCCGCCGUAA
rnacentral:rRNA from 1 species